GAUGAACGCUGGCGGCGUGCCUAAUACAUGCAAGUCGAGCGAACAGAUAAGGAGCUUGCUCCUUUGACGUUAGCGGCGGACGGGUGAGUAACACGUGGGUAACCUACCUAUAAGACUGGGAUAACUUCGGGAAACCGGAGCUAAUACCGGAUAACAUUUGGAACCGCAUGGUUCUAAAGUGAAAGAUGGUUUUGCUAUCACUUAUAGAUGGACCCGCGCCGUAUUAGCUAGUUGGUAAGGUAACGGCUUACCAAGGCGACGAUACGUAGCCGACCUGAGAGGGUGAUCGGCCACACUGGAACUGAGACACGGUCCAGACUCCUACGGUAGGCAGCAGUAGGGAAUCUUCCGCAAUGGGCGAAAGCCUGACGGAGCAACGCCGCGUGAGUGAUGAAGGGUUUCGGCUCGUAAAACUCUGUUAUUAGGGAAGAACAAACGUGAAAGUAACUGUGCACGUCUUGACGGUACCUAAUCAGAAAGCCACGGCUAACUACGUG
rnacentral:rRNA from 1 species